rnacentral:rRNA from 1 species
AUUGAACGCUGGCGGCAGGCCUAACACAUGCAAGUCGAGCGAGCGGCGGACGGGUGAGUAAUGUCUGGGAAACUGCCUGACGGAGGGGGAUAACUACUGGAAACGGUAGCUAAUACCGCAUACCAUCAGAUGUGCCCAGAUGGGAUUAGCUCGUGGGUGGGGUAACGGCUCACCUAGGCGACGAUCCCUAGCUGGUCUGCGGGGAUGACCAGCCAAACUGGAACUGAGACACGGUCCAGACUCCAACGGGAGGAAGCAGUGGGGAAUAGUGCACAAUGGGCGCAAGCCUGAUGCAGCCAUGCCGCGUGUGUGAAGAAGGCCUUCGGGUUGUAAAGCACUUUCAGCGGGGAGGCGUUACCCGCAGAAGGAGCACCGGCUAACUCCGUGCCAGCAGCCGCGGUAAUAG